rnacentral:rRNA from 1 species
AACGAACGCUGGCGGCAGGCCUAACACAUGCAAGUCGAGCGGACCCUUCGGGGUUAGCGGCGGACGGGUGAGUAACGCGUGGGAAUAUGCCCUUCUCUACGGAAUAGUCCUGGGAAACUGGGGGUAAUACCGUAUACGCCCUUUGGGGGAAAGAUUUAUCGGGGAAGGAUUAGCCCGCGUUGGAUUAGGUAGUUGGUGGGGUAAUGGCCUACCAAGCCGACGAUCCAUAGCUGGUUUGAGAGGAUGAUCAGCCACACUGGGACUGAGACACGGCCCAGACUCCUACGGGAGGCAGCAGUGGGGAAUCUUAGACAAUGGGGGCAACCCUGAUCUAGCCAUGCCGCGUGAGUGAUGAAGGCCUUAGGGUUGUAAAGCUCUUUCAGCUGGGAAGAUAAUGACGGUACCAGCAGAAGAAGCCCCGGCUAACUCCG